CCUAAUCAAACUAAAAACUCUAUUUAAUCUCGAAUAAUCCUAGUUACUCUUAUUUAAUCAAGGUUUAUUGUUCCUAAAAAUUCAACUAAUACUAAUCAAUUCGACUAAUCCUAAUUAAAAUUCCGUUACUCCAAGAUUCUCGUCUUCAAUGUUCAACAGCAAGCGGAAAUCCAGAUAAAGUCUAAACAAUCUUCGUCUUUACCGUGUUCGACAUCAGUGAAUCGUAUGGCGCAUCAGAAGAAACGUGUCACAGAUUGAGUCGAGAUAAACUCACGGUGUUUUAACUUUGGCGCGGCGGUUCUCCGGUAAUCGAUACGUUGCACUGCUUUUCGAACUGUGAUACGCGGCCGUUGCCGAUGGAGGUUGAGGAUGGAUGAAGGGGUGAAGGCUGCAGAACCACCAGCGAAGAACAGGGGAUUGCAGGAUGAAUCCGGAGAUGAAAGUUGCCAAACUCAGAAUGGAGAACAGAGGGUUAUAGAGUGAAUAAAAGAGUUGAAGAUCAUAGAUUUUACACAACUUGUUCCAGAGUGAGAUGCUGAAGACGGAAAUUGCCAAAAAGAGAAACUCUCUCAGAAUGAGGCUAGGAGGGCUUAUAUAGAGCGCUUAGCCUAACCGAUUCGGGCGAUUCGGGGAGCCCUCGGUAAAUCGGAUGUUGCACUGUUGAAAUAUUGGAUUGCAGGUCCGUGUUAUGAUUCCGGAAUGCAUCAACUUCUGCUGCUCGAUUUGGCUUUACCGAGAGUUUUCUUGUGGGCUUGUGGUGUACAUGAUUUGGUACUGUUAUCUUGGCUUCAAGGACUCGGUAUCACACACACUAGAAACUGGUGUUGAGAACUUGUUAUGAACAUUUCAUGGCGGUUGAUAUUGAGAGGGUUGGAAGAGUUAUGUUCUGUCAUGAGUGGUCUUGAACUGUUCUCUUUGAAGACAUGUUACUAGCUAAUGAUGAAUUAAUUUGGGCUUACACUUUUUGAACUUCCUGUUAGAAAUCCAAGGCCUGCUGCUGGUUGAUUUCAUUUUGUUAAAAUAUGCAGGUGAAAACUAGAUGGAAGCGGCUUCGAUGUUGACAGUGGGAUUGUAAGCAAAUCGAAUGUCUUAGUUCCUACCUUAGUGUGACGGACUAUCAACUUUGCGUUAGGAUAUUUGGAUUUCAAAUCCAAAGAAGUGUAAUAGGUUUAUGGGUUAUUUGUAGCCAAUGUAGGAUUUGGUUUUGUAAAUUGAAUUGUUUUAGAAAUUGUUCAAGGAAAUGAAUGAUGGUUGAAUUGAAAUGAAACAAAGUGAAUAGAAAUUUAAGGUCGGUUUAAAACA